AACGCACAUUGCGCCCCCUGGUAUUCCGGGGGGCAUACCUGUUCGAGCGCCGUUUAAGCUCUGAGGCUAUGCCUUGCGAUGGCCUGCCCCGGACGGGGGCGGCUGAAAUGGAGAUGGAGCCGAGCGUGCCUGAGCCUGGUAGCACAAUACGAGGCGGGCAAGCUCUGGUGGCCGAUCUAAACGAACUUGGCCUCGAAUCAGGUGGGGAUACCCGCUGAACUUAA
rnacentral:misc_RNA from 1 species